rnacentral:rRNA from 1 species
UGGGGAAUUUUGGACAAUGGGCGAAAGCCUGAUCCAGCAAUGCCGCGUGUGUGAAGAAGGCCUUCGGGUUGUAAAGCACUUUUGUCCGGAAAGAAAUCCUUGGCUCUAAUACAGUCGGGGGAUGACGGUACCGGAAGAAUAAGCACCGGCUAACUACGUGCCAGCAGCCGCGGUAAUACGUAGGGUGCAAGCGUUAAUCGGAAUUACUGGGCGUAAAGCGUGCGCAGGCGGUUUGCUAAGACCGAUGUGAAAUCCCCGGGCUCAACCUGGGAACUGCAUUGGUGACUGGCAGGCUAGAGUAUGGCAGAGGGGGGUAGAAUUCCACGUGUAGCAGUGAAAUGCGUAGAGAUGUGGAGGAAUACCGAUGGCGAAGGCAGCCCCCUGGGCCAAUACUGACGCUCAUGCACGAAAGCGUGGGGAGCAAACAGGAUUAGAUACCCUGGUAGUCCACGCCCUAAAACGAUGUCAACUAGUUGUUGGGGAUUCAUUUCCUUAGUAACGUAGCUAACGCGUGAAGUUGACCGCCUGGGGAGUACGGUCGCAAGAUUAAAACUCAAAUAAUUGACGGGGUCAUAGCUGUUUCCU